AUUGAACGCUGGCGGCAGGCCUAACACAUGCAAGUCGAACGAGUGGCGGACGGGUGAGUAAUGUCUGGGACACUGCCCACUGGCGGGGGAUAACUACUGGAAACGGUAGCUAAUACCGCAUACCAUCGGAUGUGCCCAGAUGGGAUUAGCUAGUCGGUGGGGUAACGGCUCACCUAGGCGACGAUCCCUAGCUGGUCUGAGAGGAUGACCGGCCACAAUGGAACUGAGACACGGGCCAGAUUCCUACGGGAGGCAGCAGUGGGGAAGAUUGCACAAUGGGCGCAAGCCUGAUGCAGCCAUGCCGCGGGUAUGAAGAAGGCCUUCGGGUUGUAAAGUACUUUCAGCGGGGAGGCGUUACCCGCAGAAGAAGCACCGGCUAACUCCGUGCCAGCAGCCGCGGUAAUUC
rnacentral:rRNA from 1 species